rnacentral:rRNA from 1 species
GCUUGUCUCAAAGAUUAAGCCAUGCAUGUCUUAGUGUAAAUAACUCUUAUGAAACUGCGAAUGGCUCAUUAAAUCAGUUAUCAAAUACGUGAUGGUCGCCUACUACAUGGAUAACCGUAGUAAUUCUAGAGCUAAUACAUGCACAAAGGCCCACUCACGUGGGUUGUGAUUAUUAGAUUAAAAACCAAUGCCCUUCGGGGCUCACUGGUGAUUCAUAAUAACUUCACGGAUCGCACGGCCUUGCGCCGGCGAUGGUUCAUUCAAAUUUCUUCCCUAUCAACUUUCGAUGUUUGGGUCUUGGCCAAACAUGGUUGCAACGGGUAACGGAGGGUUAGGGCUCGACCCCGGAGAAGGAGCCUGAGAAACGGCUACUACAUCCAAGGAAGGCAGCAGG